AAAUAGAAACUGCCACAAGUUCGGGGCCACUCAUGGUUUAAGUGUACUUACACCAUGGGGCCACCUAAAUAAUUUUUGAACGUUCGAGAUAUUGGAUUAAAAUUUAUAGGGUUACAAUGGCAAAAUGUAAAGGGGGUAAAUGAAGAGGGAUUGAAAAUCUUAAAUGGCAUGUAGUGUCGAAUGAGGGUUUGUUUGAAAGGGCUUUUCGAAACAAGAAUACGAGGUCGUUGAGGUCUCUCUACGAUUUUUUUUCGCAGAGUUAUGCUCAUUUAAACAUUGGUGUUUUUUGGCACUAGGAAGGCCCAUGACGAGGACGUGAGGAAGAUAAGGCUUCGCGCACGUUGAAAUGCCAAAACUAAUAUUUUGGAAGAUUACAAAUCAAUACAACAUAUUCUAGAAAAGAAACUACAUAUAAAAAGUCAAUCCUUAAUUAAUGAAAAAGAACAGAUAGCAGAAAACUUAUGUAAAAUUGAACGUAAAUUCAAGAUUGACAGAGGAAGAUUUAAAAAAGAAUUAUAUAAUCGUCUUUUGGAUCUGGUUAGUAUAUUUCAACUGGAAGUAUCAAAACAUGUGCCAUGCUCCAUACUCCAUUUACUGUCAGAAAAUAUAGCUGUAAAGAAUCAAUUGUCAAUGAUCCAAAAAAGCGUAAUUUCUAAAACACAGGACUUCAUCCUGCACACAAAUGCAAUAAAAGAAUAUAAAAGUGAAAUCAAUAAUAUGCAUUUAUACAUGACAAGAUCUAUAGUAAUUUCUGAAUUAGAAAAAUCUAUAAUCACAAUGCUACAUGACAUUCACAAAGAGGCAAAUGUUAAUUUAUCUAAAUUAAAUAAAUUUAAUUAUCUCACUGAAGAGCAGUAUAUAAAAAACAAAGAUGAUGCUAAAAUUUUAGCGCACAAAUGUGAAAUGCGCACGAAAUACGUAGAAGUUUUACUUUAUUGCGAAAAAGAAAAACUCACUAUUGCAGAAAAUCAGAAGCGGUGGAUAUCUAAUCAGUUGCAGGAACAAUUGCAACUAUUAUAUGAUGUUACAUAUGUGCUAAAAAAUCUUAAAAUAAAAAAUAAGCAAAUUGUAAAUAAUAAAAAUGAGAUUUAAUAGAAUUGAAA